GACGAACGCUGGCGGCGUGCCUAAUACAUGCAAGUUGAGCGCUGAAGGUUGGUACUUGUACCAACUGGAUGAGCAGCGAACGGGUGAGUAACGCGUGGGGAAUCUGCCUUUGAGCGGGGGACAACAUUUGGAAACGAAUGCUAAUACCGCAUAAAAACUUUAAACACAAGUUUUAAGUUUGAAAGAUGCAAUUGCAUCACUCAAAGAUGAUCCCGCGUUGUAUUAGCUAGUUGGUGAGGUAAAGGCUCACCAAGGCGAUGAUACAUAGCCGACCUGAGAGGGUGAUCGGCCACAUUGGGACUGAGGCACGGCCCAAACUCCUACGGGAGGCAGCAGUAGGGAAUCUUCGGCAAUGGACGAAAGUCUGACCGAGCAACGCCGCGUGAGUGAAGAAGGUGUUCGGAUCGUAAAACUCUGUUGGUAGAGAAGAACGUUGGUGAGAGUGGAAAGCUCAUCAAGUGACGGUAACUACCCAGAAAGGGACGGCUAACUACGUG
rnacentral:rRNA from 1 species